UGAUUUUGUAAGAAUGUGUUCGUUCAUGUGAAAUAUCAUGAAAGGAAAGUCCGGACUCCCCAUGGCAGAAUUCCGCGUGAAAACGCGGGCAUGUGACCCAUAUGUCCCAUGACGGAACAGUGCAACAGAAAGACACCGCCAUUCGGUAAGGGUGAAAUGGUGAGGUAAGAGCUCACCGGCGAGUUAGUAAUAAUGUCGCGCAGGGCAAACCCAAUUCGGUGCAAGACGAAAUAGGGAGUUGGGUAGCCAGCCCAAUAACUCCGGGUUCGUUGCACCUCGAGAGAGGAAUUUUGCAAAGCUUUGCAAAAUUAGAUAAAUGAACACAUCAUCAUUCGAUGACACAGAAUCCGGCUUACUACAAAAUCAUCUC
rnacentral:RNase_P_RNA from 1 species